GACCUAAUAGGCUAUUAGUCCAGCUAGCUGCUAGCUUUGCUGACUUAUGUGUUACUUACUUGUUUCAUAAGAGAAAGACUAACCAGUGAGUGGUUUUUGUGAAAUGCAAAAAGACACAGUCCAAUUUAUAUUGUUUCAGAUGUCAUAUGGGUCUUUCUCUAAGAAACCAUCUUUGGCUGAGCAUACAUGGUUUAAACAUUGGCUUGCAGACAGAUUGAAUUAACCAGAUAACAACCAAGAAUAAAAAUUUGUUUUUGGGCCAAGGUAUGGAAGUAACAUUAGUUAGCUACAGAUAAUAAAAUUUGCCGGCAACGUUUGUCCCCUGGAUAGACGGAUAAUUCCCUGCAAAGUGUGUUAGCUUAGGUCUCAAACAUGUAAGUUUGAAAUUUGUAAGCCUCAAAAAAGGCUAGGGACUUGAAGCUAUGUUAGCUGCUAUAGCAUAACACACCCCGAAUCUUCAACCGAACUGUCAGCAGUCGGGUUGCAUUGUGGGUAAUGUAGGAAGGAAGGAAGAAGAACGUGUGGAACAAAAAAGACUGGUUCUGCUUCAUUGAUUUUGAUGCUUUUUUUCUUUUCUUUUUUUUUUCAAAACGGUCAAUUGUGAGUCCGACAAGGUCAGAGAAGUGCAAUACUAAAUCGGUGCAGUACUCUUUUAACAGUGUGUCACUAAUGUGGUUUAAGUAUUUAUUAAUUUGUGGUGUUCAUUUUAUUAACAGUGCAUAAUCCUUUACAGUGCUCCACUGUGUAAUGAUUCAACAAGGAUCUGUAUCCUGUCUUUACCUUUUCCUUCCACUUGAUACUGCUUUCCUUUUUACCUCUCUCUUCCUCAGUUUACCCUCUCUCUUCCUCUGGUUCAGAGAAGCUGCUGCAUUUCCCUGAGCUCCAUCUGUUUCUCUCUUCAUCCCUCUUUUCUAACCUGCUUAAUCCUCUGUCUAUAUCUGAUCAUUCAUCCUCUCCAUCACCAUGUCUCACUUUCUUUUUCUCUCUCUAUAUUUCUGUUUUUUCUUUCUCUAUCGCUGUCCACCUAUCAUUCUUUUACAUUUACUAGUCUUUUUUUUUAUCUACAUGUCUUUCAUUCUUCUUGGUCAGCCGGAUGUAUGCCAGCCUGGGUGGGUUUUACUGACUGACUGGAAGAGCACUUAGCUUCUGGCAAUACAAAACUACAACCACAAUUUGAACAACCAGAUUCCAGGAAGGUGGUGAGAAUAAAAAGAAAGUCAGCUUUGAUAGUAGCAUUAUAUUUGCAUUCAUCUUAAGGCCCAUAUUGUAUAGUGUGUGUAUAUAUAGUCCUCAUAGGUUUUUCUUAGUGGCUCAUUCAGCCAUAAACACAAUAACAACUACAGAGGACAUUGAUAAGCUAUAGUUAAAAAAAGGGCCAUAGACUAAAUACAUAAUGGGGCUUUAACAAAGCUUCCAACAUCUCCAUCAUGUCUGCCUUGUGAUGUUGAAUGUUGUGAUGCUGUACUUUGUACUGCACUGCAUUAUACUGAAAGGUCUGGUCACUCAGUGUAUCUGACAGGCUGGCCUAAACAGAGGUGAGCUGCUCCCAUUUUGGGAAUUCUUUUAAUCAAGAUCAUGAGAUCAUAUACUAUUAGAGUUGACUCUAAUUGCAAAUUGUGACUAAUUGUGAUUCUAAUCUAACUGGGUGUGUUUGGCUCGGUGACAAGGAAUAUUAAAUCAGACAAAAUAUUAAUCAGACUCAGGAUGCCCGUUCAUCAAGAAAUAAAACAAUUCUGUUUGAAAGUAAGACCAUUUAGCAUCCUACUGGGAGAGUUGCAGUUACUUUAUGUCACCUUGUACACUGAGGAGAAAGAGGUUCAUUGGUGCUGAGAUGUUAUAAGACAGCAACAAAGGAUUGACAUACUACGUGUAGGAAAAAAGGCAACAGCAUCCCUUUAAGUAAAACAAGCAGUGUUACAGUUUUUUUAACACAAAUACUCAGCCUUAAGUGGAAAACAUAAUGCCACUGCGGUGCAGCAUAUGACGCGCGUUAAAGUGCCGCCCCUAGCACCAAUAAAUAGAAAGCACUGUGCUGCAGCGCGUCAACAACUGUCUCUGUUUAUCCAUUGAUCUACACCAUAGACUGUAUAUAUUAUAUUAUAUUGUGUGUAUAUACACUCCCUGACAAAAGUCUUGUCGCCUAUCCAAGUUGUAGGAACAACAAAUAAUAACUUGACUUCUAGUUGAUCAUUUGGAAUGAGAAGUGGCUUAUAUGAAAGGCAAAGUCCUCUAGAUUAUGCUUAUUUUACCAAAAUAAAAUCUUAUCAUGCCUUGAUUUUUAAUUAUUUUAUUAGGAAAGAAAGGUCAGACUUUGCUUAGACAAAAGUCUUGUCACUUAAAAGAAAUAAUGUACAGUACAGAACAUAAAGUCAUGGUGCAGUGGAAAAAUAAUUAAUAUUGUGUAUGACUCCCAUGAGCUUAGAGGACUGCAUCCAUACUCAUACAUCCAUAGUCUUGGCAAUGACUCAAAUAACUUAUUAAUAAAGUCAUUUGGAAUGGCAAAGAAAGCAUUCUUGCAGGACUCCCAGAGUUCAUCAAGAUUCUUUGGUUUCAUCUUCAAUGCCUCCUCCUUCAUCUUACCCCAGACAUGCUCAAUAAUGUUCAUGUCUGGUGACUGGGCUGGCCAAUCCUGGAGCACCUUGACCUUGUUUGCUUUCAGGAACUUUGAUGUGGAGGCUGAAGUAUGAGAAGGAGCGCCAUCCUGCUGAAGAAUUUGCCCUCUCCUGUGGUUUGGAAUGUAAUGGGCAGCAAGAAUGUCUUGAUACCUCAGACUGUUGAUGUUGCCAUCCACUCUGCAGAUCUCUCGCACACCCCCAUACUGAAUGUAACCCCAAACCAUGAUUUUUCCUCCACCGAACUUGACUGGUUUCUGUGUGAAUGGGUCCAUGCGGGUUCCGAUAGGUCUUCUGCGGUAUUUGCGACGAUUGGGAUGCAGUUCAAUAGAUGAUUCAUCGGAAAAAUCAACCUUCUGCCACUUUUCCACAGUCCAUCCUUCCUGCAAGCUGUAGGCCUUGGCAAACGCAACACGAUUUUUUAGUUGUCUUCUGUUUAAUACUGGUUUCUGAGCACUAAUUCGGCCAUUGAGACCACUGUGUGACAGAAUUCGUCAAACUGUUCUUGUUGAUACAGGGUUUUCUGGUGACCAGUUGUUAUGUAGCUCUGCUGCAGUUGAAAAAGGGCUGGCCCUGGACUGUUGAACCAACAAACGGUCCUCUCGAACAGUAGUCUUACAGGGUCUGCCUGACCUGGGCCUGUCAUGAACUUCACCAGUUUCUUCAAAUCUUUUUCUUAUCCUCUCCACUUGAUGUUUAGAUACAUUAAAGAUGUCUGCCACCUCAGCAGGAGACUUGGUCUUCAGGCUCUUGAUGAUCAGCACUUUGGUCUGUGGUUGAAUCUGUGGCAUGCUGUCAGAGGUCAGGAUGCAUUUGAUGAAAAUAAUGGGGCGGCUGUUUUGACACGCACCAUUCAGCAUUGGUAUAUUUUGGCCUUUACACAUUCCAAGAUUCAUUACACUAUAAAUUCAUUGGUCUAGUGGGUAAAUGUUAGAUAUCAAAGGAAAUUAACAUACUGUAUCAUACUGAAACACUAGUUGGAAUGUAACCAGAUGAAAAUAAAUGACUAGACAAAAAGUUUCCCAGAAAUCUUGAAUGAAGUCCCUGUAUUUCAAAGAUGCAGCAGUACAGAUUCUGGUGUCAGAUACUUGGGCCACUGGGCUGGAAAACAGCCCUGUAUCAGAUACUCACUAAAAAUUCAGCACCUUCAGGCACAGUGUAGCAUGAGUCUGAUGGUGUUUGUGGCUUCUUCACACAAGAAAGGAUGUUAGAUCUGUAAUAGACAAAAAUGGAGUAGAAAAUUUAAUAUUAACCAUCUGAGUGACCCUCAGAGAAAUGAUCUGAAUCUAUACUGUUUAAGUAUGGGAGAUUAUCUUUUUCUGUAUCAGUAUCUUAUCUUGCGGUGUGUAAUUCUGAAGCUAAAGACUCCAAAAAUUGAAAAUGAAAAAAAUCUGGGGUUUAGGAGUUAGAAAGUGAACUUACCAGACCUCUGUAGCCCACUGCUCAUCUCUGUUUGAGGCUAGCAGCUCGAGGCUACAUUAGCGGCUACUAGCAUAACACACCUAAAUCUCUGACUGAAUUGUUGGCGGUUGAGUUGUGGGUUUUGCAGGUUGUGGGUAAUUUACAUAGGUGCCAGGUUUUGACAAAGAAGAAAAAUGCAUGGAAUAAAAAACAUGACAUCUCUGGUUCUGUUGCAUUGAUUUUAAUACUUUAUUACUUUCUUCUUCUUUUUCUUUUUACUGUCCGUCUUGAGUUCGACAAUGUUACAGAAGUGCAAAGCUCAGUCAGUGCAGUACUCUUUUAACAUUGGGCUACCCAUUACUGACAUGGUUUAAACAUUUGUUCAUUUGUGGUGUUCAACAGUGCAUGAUCCUUUACAAUGCUCCACUUUGUAACGAUUCAACAAGGAUCUGUAUCCCGCCUUUACCUUUUUCUUCCACCCAGUACUGCUUCCCCUUUUCCCUCUCUCCUCCUCCACUUACCCUUUCUUACUCUGUCCUGGUUCAGAGAGGCAGAGACCGAUAUGGAUGUCUCUGUCUCUCCAGUUUAACUGGACUACAGUAAGACUUGACAUCAGUAUGUAGCAGCUCCAGGGUAUGUCUGAUGAGGAAACGUCAGAAGAGACUCUCUAGUUUCUCGGUGUAUGAGAGGUAUGUUAAUGUGCACCAGUUUUGUUGAAUCACCUUUAAUCAUUGGAAUAAUGCAAGAAAUAUUUUAAUGGUUGGAUUUUGCUUUAAAUGAUGCAAGGCCAUGGGAUUUCAAAAGUACUAGAGGUUGAUAGACAGGACACAAAGAAAAUGCAAACAUGCAUGUGUGUAUGUGAAUGUGUGUGUGUUUCGCAAGAGUGAUCUGAUAUGCCUCUGCGGUUCCUGCGUGGAACACACAAACAUACUGAGGGAAUUGGUGUGUGAAUGAUGUGUUUGUAUGUAUGGCUGAACGCAAAUUAGUGAGGGUCUUACUAUAGAAGGCUAUAUAGACACAGAGUCCCAGAUUUAGGGCUUCAUGGAUGUAGGAGUGGUUAGUUAUGUGCAGACCAUGUUUCUAGACUACAUGCCCAGCCUGCAACUUAUUCAGAUUUAACAAUGAAUUUGGUUUGUUAAUUUAGGUUUUUAUCCUGUUUAUCUCAGUGUUUAGUUAAAAUGUGGAUACAUUAAUGUCUCACUCCUUCAUCAGAUGUUCAGAUUUUUCUACACAAAUGUAGAGGAAGCAGAAUUCCAACACAAUUCUUUCAGUGAACACUUUAGAAAAUGUAAGUUAUCAUUUUGUGGCCCAAGUACUGUGAUAAAAUUGUAUAUUUCAUUGUUGUCACUCCUGUGGCUAGCCAAAAUGUUGAUGCUUAGUUUUACAUCAUCUACAGUUGUAAUGUGAUGGGAUUUUUGUUAAUGUCAUGAAUGGUACAGAAUUGUGUUGUGUUAAUUAACAUUACAAAGUAGUCCAGAAGGAUGGACAAAUAUUGAUAUGGUUAUCGAGGAUUUUUUUCCCUCCAUGUAGUUGCUAUUAUUUGUACAGUAUGCCAUAUAGGGUUUCGUAGAGGUUGAUUAAUUCAGAUUAUGCUUACAGAUUUUUGGUUCUUAUCUACACUAUACAUGCAUGCAUAGAUGCAUGCAUAAAUCCCCAUUCACACAUGCACCCCCCAGUUUUCGACACCCAACCCUAAUGCUACCAACACAUCAACACGCAGAAUUACUACCAGCUGUCACCACGUAGUCUUCACAAUUAAAUCUUUGUUCUGUACUCUGCCAGUUUUGCAUUUAUACCGUUUGUUCUGUGUGUUGGUAUUUGUCAUGGAGGAAUUGCUGCGGUUUGGUAUUCAGCGCUUCUGGGUUAUUUGUUUUCUGUGUCAUAAAAUAAUGUAUACAAUGGUAAACAAAGGAGGAUGAUAAAUAGAAAUAUAGAGAGGCUGAAACCAAGAGAAAGGAGGAGGGGGAAAACAGGGAAAGUAGAUGGCAAUCAAAUGAAUAUAAUGGGACAUUAAAAUGUAACUGUAGAAGUAGAAGGCGGAGAGCCGUGCUGGUAGAAAAAUGGCGACUGGCUGCAAUUUUUUCUGUCUCUGUGUCCUCGUCUCACUUUUCGAUGUUCCAUCUUUCUCUGCCAGGGCUCUCUCUCCUUUCCCUCACCUCACUCUCUUUCAGCAGGUCUCUCUGCUUACUCUCCUUUUCUCUUUUACUUUACCUUCUUUCCUCUCUGAUUUUUCCUCUUUUCCUCCCUCUCCCAUUUACAUCCUUUCUCUCCUCCCAUUUCUCUUCUUCUGCCCUCCCCAACUCCUUACACACACACACACACACACACACACACAUCCCUCAGCAGUGAUGGCAUGCAUUCAGCAGCAGAUGCAGUUGGCUAAGCCCAGAGCAUCUGCUGAGAUAGACGAACACCACUGACAUAGCUUCACAGGCUCCUUGUGUUGUGUUUGCAUGCCUGUAUCUGUGUCAGUCACGAUCGAUUGCUGGCGUAUACAGUGUCUCUCCGUGGGCUUAUGAAUGAAUGUGUGUCUAGUGUAGAUUUGGCUGCAUGUGGGCGCAUGCAUUUUCAUCCUGUCUGUGCUGGCCUGCACAUAUUUUGCAGCUAUAUGGCAUGUGUCUGUGUGUGAAUGAGUCUGUGCCAUCUGCACAAGACUACAAGUGGAGGUGUGUGUAUUGCCUGCUUUGUGUGUGUGUGUGCUGUGAUACUCAGCAUGCAUAUAGGAAUGUGCCCCCACCUUCCCCCAUGUGCCUCCCAAACCCUUCAUUAACUAAACAUGACCCUUAAGAGUAUGAUUAGCCUCAUUUCAAGACAGGAUGUCGGAAGCCAUCACCCAAGGGGGGGAAAAUCCAUUACUAUAAUUGCAUUGAGCUGAGGGAGGGAGGCGAGAGAGAGGGAGGAAAGAAAGGAUGCAUAGAUGGAUAAAAAGGAAGAAAAUGAGUGGUGUAGGGGGGGGGCAGAGGGCCAUCAGAGAUGCCGGGAUGAAGUGGAAGGAGGGAGAGAGACAGAGGAUGAGGGCUGAGGGAGAGGGGGUGGCAGCUGAUGGUAGGAACUGAUAUUCUAUAUGAAUCCAUAGUUCCUUCUCGUGGAUCCCCCCUGUGUCUGAGUGCUCAGUUGGUACGGCCCUCCGACAAUAAAACCACCUCCAGUGAGUCUUGAUGUGGCACUUCCACUCGGUACUCCAGCUCACGCACAAGAGUCACUGGCCUGCUUUUGAACGGGGAAAGGCUGCAUGUGGACCGCCAUGCCGGCUCGAAAGGGCACAGCGAACACGCCCCAGCAUGGCGGCCACUGCUGCUGCCCUGGCACAGCGACACAGAGGGAUGGAAAGGCGGAGGGGCGAUGCAGGUCUCCUGGGCUGUCAAAGCCCAGAUACCUGGGCACAGACAAAGAAACGAAAAACUAUUUUUUACUUUUUCUUGUCCCAUCGUGUCUUUUCAUCUGUCAGUCUGUCUGCCAGGCAGGCAGGCAGGCGCUCAGCAUGAGUGAGUAUUGUCUAUACACUUGGAUACACACACACACACACACACACACACACACACACACACACAGACACUCACAGACAGGCAUGUGCUUUGUCUGUCACACUUUUGUGUCACCUCUCUGUCUAUCUCCAUCUCUUCUCUGGUUAUGCUACAUUGUCUGUGGCUGUACGGUGCCCAUGGGAAUGAUGAUGAUGAUGUAUAAAAUGAUUGUUAAUGAUUGGAGGCAGACAUCACUGUCUCAAUAUAAAUACACAUAUACUGUAUGUGUAUGUAUGCUGUAGUACUUUAUGUAUAUAUUUUUGCUACACAGGAAAUUAAGAAGUGAAGGGUGGGGUUUCUCUCUCUCUCACACACACACUCAGGCACUGGUCGGCUCAUUGUGUCAUGGCAAAUGAGGACAGAAAGCCUCCCACUCUUACUUUCAUGAUGACUGGCACAGAGAGCAAGACUCCCUGUCUUCAUUUCCCCUUUCUACACCAUAUCUCAUAGUGUGGAAUAAGCAUGAAGCCAGAUCGAAAGAGUCAAAAUCCGAGUUGCUGAUUUUUCCCGUAAGGUUGCAUUCAGGCGCAGACAGUGUGACUAUCUUGACCAAGGCUAAUAGAAUGAGGGCCUGUGUGUGCCGGCACAGAGAAUGAUGUUAACAUGCGUAUUUGAAGAGACACGCACAUAUUCUCACCAAAUACAUUCUUUUUAAAGGAUUGAUUUUAUAUGAUUUCCUAAAAUAUGGUCAUUCUUGUCCCUUGGCUUACAAUAAGGUGUAUUUUAAGAGACGCAGUCAGAUGUCCACUGAUCUUUAAUAAUAUCUGCACAUUGUAGCAAAUUAGAGAAAAAGAUUGAAACUUCCAUCAGUUGUAUUUUCAAUUGAAGGCAGACUAGUCCUCAGUUCUACAUUUAGCUUUAAUUUCUUGACAUAGAUCUGCUGUUUGUAAUUAACAGCAAUGGAGUAUUUCCUGAUUUAUCUCUAAUUAUUAAAUUAUUUUCUGUGGCUGUGUUCCUGUUCCUGUAGAAGCUUCUGGGCUGUCUGGCCAGCAGGCUGUGGGUGUUCACAGUGUGUUGCAGAUCUCUGAGGAUACACAAUACAGGGGUGGGGCAACAGAAAUUGUACAUCUUUAGAUACACUUAUUGCCCAACACUGAAUUGAUCAUAAGCAUGCAUUUAUCCUCUGCUAAAAUGUCUUUUUUUUUUUCUUUGGUCUCAAUGUGUCCGCAUGGCUCUUUAAUAUGACACUAUUUUAUGUUUAUUUUUACCAUUUGGGAAUGAAUUCAAGCAGGAACUGAGGCGUCGGCAGUGUUGAGCCA